GGAGGAUGGCUCCGGGCGGGAGCUGGCGGGAGCUCGGGGGUAAACAAAGCGGUGUCGUCUUUUCUCCGCAGCCAUUGCGGAAGGCCUUUUCUGUGGCUCUCGGAAAUCCACUGCUAGUGCUUGAACGAAGACGCGGCAUACGGAAAAAAGAGACCGGAAAUACCUCGAAAUGUACGUUACUUCGUUUGACGCGAUAGAAUUUACCCUGGGAGCAUACGAAGCACCAAUAUGCGUCCCGGUCUUCGGCGGUGAGAUGUUGAUGUGAGCCCCCCGAACGUCAGCACGGUGAUGUGCGACGCGAGUGAGCCUUUCUACUUUUUGGCGGGGACCCCAUUUCGCCAGCAAGUGUCUCGGUGUCUCCGUGAAGCACCGAAGUGUAGCUACAGCCCUCUUCGGCGGGCUGAACGGGCAGCCGAGCUUUCGAAGGCCGACCUCCCGCAGCGCUGGAACCCGGAGAACCGCGCCAUGGCGCUCGCUGAGAAUCCACCGGCUGCCGGGCUACUGAAAGGGCCCUGUAUAAUGCCCUCGGCGCCUGUGCGACUUCCGGGGGUCUGCGUUUCACGGCCCCGUUACCAGCUGGGAAGUUCUCCAUGGAGGGGACGACAUCCUGUCCAGCACCAGCUUCACCAUCUGGGACCAAGUGCACGAGGGGUCGCACUGCAAGGCGAUGAAAGGAGGGCACUGCGACCUUGAGGUCAAGCUUGUACAUCUACCAUUACAGUCCUGAAUGGAUGCCAAUUGGUACUGAUGACGUUAUGAAGGUGAAACGUCCCUGGAUCUAAAGGGAAAAUUUGAUUGAAGGCGAGCUGAAGUUGUUUCUGACUUUAUCCUCUUACGACUUGAAAGUAAUCUGCCUACUUCAUGAAUACUGAAGAUGCAGAAUUUGUUUCCGUAACUGUCCCACUUCAACGUAAUGUGCACAUUGAAACCUGUUCCUUUUCUUUUUCUGCUUUCCGGCGAGAAAAAAAAAGCCAACGAGUCUCCCUUUUCCUUCUCGCAAUGGGGAGGUGUGCAAGACUGAUUGCAUAUUUUAUAUAAGCAAUCAGUUUCAUAAGUGAAUGAAGAUAAAAGCAGAAUACAUGUUCACAGAUUAUUUGUGAAUUCUUAGACUUGCUGAAGUGAGUAGUUUAUGUUCGAGUCAUGUAAUUAUGAAGUCAAAACCAGAUUUAGUGCAUUUUUAAGAAGCCUUUUAGACCUGAGAGUUCUGUUUUGACUCAGCAAUACACAACUCACCUUUGUUAUUCCUAUAGCACAGCCGAAACUAUAAACAUGAGCAUGUCGCCUGACCAAUGCUUGAACUGUCGUUAAAUCGACGAAGUUUCUAUCCUUCGAGAACAAGUGUAAACGGGGAAUAGUCGAAAGAUUAGGGUCAAGUAUGCACACACAUUUUUGAUUUCAAGCUUGCAGAUUGAAAUAAUUGUUUAUUGAAUCAUAUCCAUUCUUAAACCUGUUUAAGAUUGUAUUGGUUCGUAUUCACUGUAUAUUUAUUUUUCAUUUCAGCAAGGAAUAAUUUAGAGACAGAUGUUGGUGUUCAGGCGUGAUGCUUUUAUUUUUGUAACAUGCAAGAGGGCAAAAAAUUAGAUUCGGCUUUGUAAACUGAUUUUUUUAUGUAUUCUUCCGAACAGCAUAGCAAAGAAUAAUAUAAGGGCUACAGCUGCGUGAGUUGCUACACCUGGCAUCUCAUUUGUUUUAUAGCGUGUACAGGUGAGACACUAUACUCCGUUUCUCGGUAACUUGGCAAACAUUGCGACCCAAUAAGAGCAUCGGAGCCAGGCACGUGACAACACUCCACGGUCGAGUCCUCGUUAUUGCCACAGCAAGAGCGCCAUCUGCGACAAAACAUAGUUCUAGGCUUUGUUUCUUCUUCUUCUUUUAGUAGUGUUGCCGUCGGAUUUUUCGGACCGCAACACUACACGACACUGAAGAAAGACGAAGACAUAUGUUACUUACUAGCGACACUUAAAUAGAUCAACACUUUUUUGAGAAAAACUUGGCUUGUGAUCGAAGUUCAAACAAUUGUAGCCGUGAAUCGACCGCUUCCGCUCAAAACAUCGCCCUAGCAUUAGCACCCGCCACAGAUUCAUGGGCAAAUUGAGCAUGUGGUUGUAAGACGACAGCCAGUUCUGCCGGGUGGUUCUUGCAUUUGGCGCGGUGACACGAACGCUUCUGUGACAUGCGUCCAUGUGCCUCGCUCCGACAUUCUUACUGGGUCGCAGGAGCCGUAGCCUCCACAGUUCACCAAGCUAUCGUGAAACAAAAUGUAGACUAAGUUGCCUGCAUGCUAAUGAAAGUAGCCUUGCCAGCAUCAUGUAUUAUGUAUGAAAUAGCAUAUACUUCGAGAAAACAAAUAAAGCCAUUCAACCUUUCCA
rnacentral:lncRNA from 1 species